UGGACUCUGCAGAAAGAACACAGUCUGUCACAGUUGAUGAAGAUGACGAUGAAGAGACCACAUCUGCUGUGACAGAAGUGGACAAUGCUGGUAGAUCCACUGAGAACAUACCUAGGGGUUUGCCCACAGAUGAGGGUCCUUCAACCUCAUCACACAAUCUAAGCAGGG